rnacentral:rRNA from 1 species
AACGAACGCUGGCGGCAUGCCUAACACAUGCAAGUCGAACGAGACCUUCGGGUCUAGUGGCGCACGGGUGCGUAACGCGUGGGAACCUGCCCUUAGGUUCGGAAUAACUCCCCGAAAGGGGUGCUAAUACCGGAUAAUGUCUUCGGACCAAAGAUUUAUCGCCUUUGGAUGGGCCCGCGUUGGAUUAGCUAGUUGGUAGGGUAAAAGCCUACCAAGGCGACGAUCCAUAGCUGGUCUGAGAGGAUGAUCAGCCACACUGGGACUGAGACACGGCCCAGACUCCUACGGGAGGCAGCAGUGGGGAAUAUUGGACUAUGGGCGAAAGCCUGAUCCAGCAAUGCCGCGUGAGUGAUGAAGGCCAUAGGGUUGUAAAGCUCUUUUACCCGGGAUGAUAAUGACAGUACCGGGAGAAUAAGCUCCGGCUAACUCCGUG